rnacentral:hammerhead_ribozyme from 1 species
GUACUGAUGAAGAAUCCCGGACUAGGACGAAACAGCUGUCCAGUAC